AUGACCCCUCUCCCCACCCCCCCGCCCUUGCAGGUACCCUCUGUACCAGCUGGGCAACCCCCAGCUCCGGGUCUUCCGCACCAACUUCUUCAUCCGGCUGGUGCGGCCCGGCACGGCCCAGCCCGAGGAUACUGUGCAGUUCCGGAUCCCGAUGGAGUAAGCCUCCCCCGCCCCAGAGGGAUUCAGGCCGAGAGGCCCACGGCCCUGGAGGUGCCACUGGACCCCACUCACAGCGAGGUUCUUCCCACCACAAAGAAACUACUGGCAGCCCUGCACCAAGGCCUGGUGUGUGCAGAGCCUCGGCUGAGGGCGCCUUGGGCUCCUCGCCACCCUGGGGAAGUCCAGCCUGAGAGACCCAGCUCCUUUCCUUGCUUCGGCCUGGCUACCCUUCCCAGGAGGCUGGGCUCUGACCCUGGCUCCCAAAGCCUCCGCCCUUGGGUGGGUCCUUCACAGAGGCCCCCGUUGCUGAGGAGACACAGAUUCUCCGCACCCCAUACUGAGGCCUCGGGGCUCUGGCCUCAGCUCGAGCCUCCAUGGGAACUGAGGGUCAUGCCGUCUGCUUCAGAGACCAGGGCAGGAGAGGCUGGGCCCUGUCAGGGACAGAGGAGACAGCAUCACCACCGCCCUGGCCAUCCUUUCUGGGAGACGCCUGCCGGGGGGGUGGGGGGGCUCGCUGUGGACAGGGUGGCAGCUGUGGAGCGGGCGGCUCCCAGCAGCCAGAGGGCACUCGCAGACCACCCCUCCCCUCCGCUCGCCAGCUCGGCCCCCAGGCAGGGCAACAGGACGGAGCCCUGGGGGCUGGUCCCCGUCGCCCCCAUGUCGCUGUGCCCAGAUGCCACUGCAGCAUCAGCGGGGCCCGGCCCCGGCCUCCCAGGCGGCUCCCACCCAGUGUCUGCACUCAGCAGCUCGUGCCGCCCGGCAGGCUCCUUUCUUCUCCACCCUGUUCAGAGCCCCCCCCUUUUCCCCUCCUGCCCCAGGAUGAGCAGAGUGGACCUCAGGAACUACCUCGAGCGCAUCUACGACGUGCCGGUGGCCGCCGUGCGGACGAGGGUGCAGCAUGGUUCCAACAGGAGGAGGGAUCACAGGAACGUCAGGAUAAAGCAGCCAGACUAUAAGGUGGCUUACGUGCAGCUGGCACACGGGCAGACCUUCACGUUCCCAGAUCUGUUUCCCAAGGGAAAGCGGCCCGGAGGCAGCUCUGUGGAUGAGGACCUCCAGGACCAGGUGCUGGAGGAGCAGCGGCGGCGCCAGAGCCCCGACCCGCGGCGCGGGGGCGUCCCCGGCUGGUUCGGCCUGUGACUGGAGCCAACCAUCACGUUCGAAUAAAGUGCUGCUCGUGGCGACGGUC
rnacentral:lncRNA from 1 species